AACGAACGCUGGCGGCAUGCCUAACACAUGCAAGUCGAACGAGACCUUCGGGUCUAGUGGCGCACGGGUGCGUAACGCGUGGGAACCUGCCUUUAGGUUCGGAAUAACUCAGAGAAAUUUGAGCUAAUACCGGAUAAUGUCUUCGGACCAAAGAUUUAUCGCCUUUAGAUGGGCCCGCGUAAGAUUAGCUAGUUGGUGGGGUAAAGGCCUACCAAGGCGACGAUCUUUAGCUGGUCUGAGAGGAUGAUCAGCCACACUGGGACUGAGACACGGCCCAGACUCCUACGGGAGGCAGCAGUGGGGAAUAUUGGACACUGGGGGAAACCCUGAUCCAGCAAUGCCGCGUGAAUGAUGAAGGCCUCGGGUUGUAAAGGUUCUUUU
rnacentral:rRNA from 1 species